GUCGUUAGUAACUUUGAUAAGUUAGUGGAGAGGGCAGAAGCCAGAUUGAGGAGAGGGUCAAGGAGAGAGUUAGAAUUGAGGAAGUGAGACAUAGGGGUGUGACAAACUUCCCUUUUCCUGUGAGUUUGCCACCAGUUCCUGCUUGCCAGCUUCCUUCCCAAAGACUAUGGACCCUGUAGACUGUGAUAUAAAAGUCUCCGUUUGUCUAUUUGAAUUAUAUGUUUUGGUAACUGAGCAGCCGCACAAACUGGAGACCACCCUGGAGCUUGUUAAGCUUAAUUCAUACAUUGUUGCAAUUUCCACCGCAGUGGUCUAAGUGUUCG